UCCCGCACUUAAUAAAGGUGCAUGCGCAGUGCAACAAAAUAAGAACCAAUAAACGACAAUAAUUUCACCCUAGACCAAUAGAAUUUAAAGUCUCGUGACAAUCUUUUAAAUUAGUCUUAAUUUAAUUACACAUUUUUUUUUCUCUCUUUCUCUCUUUCUCUCUAUCUAUCUAUUUAGUUUUUGCACUUUUUCCAAACACGUGGUGUUUAUUCCAUUAUUAUUUUUACGCACAUGACUUUUAUUUUAAUACUAUCCUUACUUUUUUUUCGUCACAUUUAAAAUAAGAAAAUGUAAAAAUAAUCGAAAAAAAAAUAUUUUUUUUUUUUCUUCAAACACAUCGGAAACAAAAGUAAAAGCAAGGAGAAAAAAAAAUGAUUAAAAUUCAUCGUUGGAGGGAUAAAAAAUUACAAAACAAAAAAUUAUGAAACAAUUUUUUCUAUAAAUGUGAAAUUUUUUCCUUUUUCUUUUUUUAAACAAAAAAAAAACACACACAAUGAAACGAAAAUUCACAGCAAUGAAAACUGACGAAUUUGAAGAAAAUUCCAAAAUUGAAACAACGACAAAUCAUCAUUGUCAUGAAAUUAAUAAUUACAAUAAUGAGGCUUUAAAAUUAAUACAAAUAUUUAUUAAUUGUGGUGGAAAAAAUUUUACAUUAAACAUUAUGGCGGAAUAUACAAUUGAAAAAAUUAAAUUACAAAUAAUGGAUAAAACACAAAUUCCAAUUGAAUAUCAAAUUUUAAAAUAUUCCAGUACAAUACUCAAUGAUAAAAUGACCGCUGAAUUUUAUAAUAUCAAUAAGGAGGCAACAAUAUUUUUGAGUACACGAACAUUGGUGAAGAAAUUUUUAUUUUUUUCACACAAUCAUAUUAAAUAGAAAAAAAAAGAAGAAAAAACCAAUUAAUUAUAUUAAAUAAAAAGAAAAUAAACAAAAAUUAAUCAUAUUAAAUUUAAAGAAAAAAAAAAUACUAUUAAUCAUACAAAAAAAAAGAAGAAAAAGAAACGAUGAAAAUUUUUCUUUAAAAUUUAUAAAAAUGAAAAUCUUUCAUUUAUUCUAGAAAAUUGUUUGCAAAAAAAAAAAAUAUAAAAAUAAUAAAAAUAAUUAAAAGUUCCUAAAAAUGGAGAUGCGGAAAAAAUGCUUUCACUUCGUUAAGUGAAGAACUUUAAAAAGAAAAUUAAUUUUCUCUUUUUUUUAAUAUGUUAUUAAAUUGAAAAAAAAAAAUUCUUUGUACGAUUGUCAAUAAAUAUUUUUAUAUAGAA